CAGUAGCCCGGGAAAACAGAGGGUGCGAGCGUUAAUCGGAUUUACUGGGCGUAAAGCGUGCGUAGGCGGCUUCUUAAGUCGGAUGUGAAAUCCCUGAGCUUAACUUAGGAAUUGCAUUCGAUACUGGGAAGCUAGAGUAUGGGAGAGGAUGGUAGAAUUCCAGGUGUAGCGGUGAAAUGCGUAGAGAUCUGGAGGAAUACCGAUGGCGAAGGCAGCCAUCUGGCCUAAUACUGACGCUGAGGUACGAAAGCAUGGGGAGCAAACAGGAUUAGAUACCCGCGUAGUCCCUGUCUCUUAUACA
rnacentral:rRNA from 1 species